rnacentral:tRNA from 1 species
GCCCGGAUGGCGGAAUUGGCAGACGCGCUAGAUUCAGGGUCUAGUCUCCGUAUAGGAGGUGGGGGUUCAAGUCCCCCUUCGGGCA